rnacentral:rRNA from 1 species
UACAGAGGGUGCGAGCGUUAAUCGGAGUAACUGGGCGUAAAGGGCGCGUAGGCGGUGAGAUGUGUGUGAUGUGAAAGCCCCGGGCUUAACUCGGAAAGGUCAACUGAUACUGUGCGACUAGAGUGCGGAAGGGGCAACUGGAAUUCUCGGUGUAGCGGUGAAAUGCGUAGAUAUCGAGAGGAACACCUGCGGCGAAGGCGGGUUGCUGGGCCGACACUGACGCUGAUGCGCGAAAGCCAGGGGAGCGAACGGG